rnacentral:rRNA from 1 species
UGCCAGCAGCCGCGGUAAUACGGAGGGUGCAAGCGUUAAUCGGAAUUACUGAACGUAAAGCGCGCGUAGGCGGUUUGUUAAGUGAGAUGUGAAAGCCCAGGGCUCAACCUUGGAACUGCAUCUCAUACUGACAGGCUAGAGUAUGGUAGAGGAGGGUAGAAUUCCAUGUGUAGCGGUGAAAUGCGUAGAGAUGUGAAAAAAUACCAAUAACGAAAACAACCCCCUGAAUCGAUACUGACGCUAAGGUGCGAAAGCGUGAAAAGCAAACAAAAUUAGAUA